rnacentral:rRNA from 1 species
GACGAACGCUGGCGGCGUGCUUAACACAUGCAAGUCGAACGGAAAGGCCUGCUUUCCCUUGUGGAUUGCGGGUGCUCGAGUGGCGAACGGGUGAGUAACACGUGAGUGAUCUGCCCCCAACUUGGGUAUAAGCCUGGGAAACUGGGUCUAAUUCCCGAUAGGACUGCAGGGUGGUGCCUGUGGUGGAAAACGAUUUUCUAGUGGUUGGGGAUGAGCUCGCGGCCUAUCAGCUUGUUGGUGGGGUAAUGGCCUACCAAGGCGGCGACGGGUAGCCGGCCUGAGAGGGUGGACGGCCACAUUGGGACUGAGAUGCGGCCCAGACUCAUACGGGAGGUAGCAGUGGGGAAUAUUGCACAAUGGGCGGAAGCCUGAUGCAGCGACGCCGCGUGGGGGAUGACGGCCUUCGGGUUGUAAACUCCUUUCGACCGCGAGGAAGCCACCUGGUUGGAAGGGUGGUGACGGUAGUGGUAGAAGAAGCACCGGCUAACUACGUG